rnacentral:rRNA from 1 species
GACGAACGCUGGCGGCGUGCCUAAUACAUGCAAGUUGAGCGCUGAAGGUUGGUACUUGUACCAACUGGAUGAGCAGCGAACGGGUGAGUAACGCGUGGGGAAUCUGCCUUUGAGCGGGGGACAACAUUUGGAAACGAAUGCUAAUACCGCAUAAAAACUUUAAACACAAGUUUUAAGUUUGAAAGAUGCAAUUGCAUCACUCAAAGAUGAUCCCGCGUUGUAUUAGCUAGUUGGUGAGGUAAAGGCUCACCAAGGCGAUGAUACAUAGCCGACCUGAGAGGGAGAUCGGCCACAUUGGGACUGAGACACGGCCCAAACUCCUACGGGAGGCAGCAGUAGGGAAUCUUCGGCAAUGGACGAAAGUCUGACCGAGCAACGCCGCGUGAGUGAAGAAGGUUUUCGGAUCGUAAAACUCUGUUGGUAGAGAAGAACGUUGGUGAGAGUGGAAAGCUCAUCAAGUGACGGUAACUACCCAGAAAGGGACGGCUAACUACGUG